GUUUUCGUAGUGUAGUGGUUAUCACGUUCGCCUCACACGCAAAAGGCCCCUGGUUCGAACCCGGGCGAAAACA
rnacentral:tRNA from 1 species